rnacentral:rRNA from 1 species
GAUGAACGCUAGCGGCAGGCCUAAUACAUGCAAGUCAAGGGGCCAGCAAUGGCACCGGCGGACGGGUGCGUAACGCGUACACAACGUACCUCUGACAGGGGGAUAGCAUUGAGAAACUGGUGGUAAUACCCCAUAGUAUUGCUGGGAGGCAUUUCUUGGCAAUUAAAGUUACGGCGGUCAGAGAUCGGUGUGCGUCCGAUUAGCUAGUUGGCGGGGUAACGCCCACAAGGCGACGAUCGGUAGGGGGUGUGAGAGCAUGACCCCCCCACAUGGUACGUGAGACACGGACCCAACUCCUACGGGAGGCAGCAGUAAGGAAUAUUGGACAAUGGUCGGAAGAACUGAUCCA